UUCGUAGGGUCCGAGCGUUGUCCGGAGUUACUGGGCGUAAAGGGCGCGCAGGCGGCGGUGCUGGCCCGGCGUGAAAGCCCCCGGCUCAACCGGGGAGGGUCGUCGGGGACCGCACCGCUUGAGGGCGGUAGGGGCCGGUGGAAUGCCUGGUGUAGUGGUGAAAUGCGUAGAGAUCAGGCAGAACACCUGGGGCGAAGGCGGCCGGCUGGGCCGACCCUGACGCUGAGGCGCGAAGGCGUGGGGAGCGAACGGG
rnacentral:rRNA from 1 species